UACGGAGGGGGCGAGCGUUGUCCGAAGUUACUGGGCGUAAAGCGCGCGUAGGCGGGUUGGUAAGUCCGCUGUGAAAGCCCGGAGCUUAACUCCGGAGGGUCGGUGGAUACUGCCAGUCUUGAAGGUGCUAGGGGGAGAUGGAAUUACCGGUGUAGCGGUGAAAUGCGUAGAUAUCGGUAGGAACACCAGUGGCGAAGGUGGUCUCCUGGGGCAUUCUUGACGCUGAGGCGCGAAAGCUGGGGGAGCGAACGGG
rnacentral:rRNA from 1 species